rnacentral:lncRNA from 1 species
UUAUACUUUAAGCUGUUGUCGUAGUUCAACAACAAAUUAUUAUCGUUUUGUACUGCUUGUAGGCAUCAUGGCAGAGGUUAUUAAGUAGGGAAUCUCUUAUCACCAGCAGCAAGUUUUCCAAGAGAUUCAGCCAGGAAAGGAUGAGUUUCCAGCAGUGAAGGACACGGAAGAAAUUACUGCAGUUGGGGCAGAAGACAUGGAUUUCGAGUAGCCUGCUCUGGGCCAACUUUUGGCCCACUGUUCACAGCUCCUGAAGGGGAGUCUUGAGAGCUGCUGAACUGUUCAAGCUUGCUAAGCAAUCCUGUCUGCUCCUGGAAUUCUGGAACAGCUCCGUGAACCGCUUGCAGUUGCAGUCCAGGUCGCUUCCCGCUGCUGGGGGAAAGGACAGGAGGAGGUGGGUGGCACCGGCGUAGGAUGGGCGCCCGAGGACCUGGAGCCAGGUCCUGUACUCCUGGCACUGAUGUUUGGCCAGAAGGUUUUUUUCAGUAAAGCCAUCAGCAUUGUGAUAGCCGGCAUUGCAAUCAGCAACAUGAACCCAUCUUGCUAAUAUCAACAGAGAAAGAAAAUCACAAUUUCAUAUCCUUAAAGGUGAACAUGUCCCAUAUGUUAGGUUUGAGGCAUUUUAAGCAAGUGGCUGAAAUAUUUUUACUAUCAUAUUAAGAGGACAGAUCAUGCUGAAAUGUAAGACAGUGUGACAUUUCUGGAAACAAAGAAGUUGCUGCAUUGUUUAAAAUGUUAAGUGUAUAUUUCAUAUAUGACCUAGCUGUUUUUCAAAGUUACAGAAGUUCAUAUUUUAAUCAAAAUGGAA